AUCGAGGCCAGGGAUCAAACUCGCAACCUCAUGGUUCCUAGUCAGACUCAUUUCUGCUGCGCCACAACGGGAACUCCUAUUUUUUGAACAAUAUAAUGUUAAUAUAUCUUGUGACUGUGAGUCUCUACAUUUUAACAUUGUCUUCUUUUUUAAAUUAAAAAAAAAUUUCUUUUCAGGGCCAUGCCCACGGCAUAUGAACGUUCCCAGGCUAAGGGUCAAAUUGGAGCUGCAGCUGCAGGCCUACACCACAGCCACACCAACACAGGAUCCAAGCCUCGUCAGUGACGACUGUGAACUACAUUACAGCUCACAGCAACACCAGGUCCUUAACCCACUGAGCAAAGCCAGGGAUCCAAUCCAAAUCCUCAUGGAUACUAGUUGGGUUCUUAACCCGCUGAGCCCCAGCAGGAACUCCUAACAUUAUCAUUUAAGUUAUUCAACUGAUCAAAACAUAAAUAUAUGACACAUUUUGAUAGACAGUUACACAUAAAAAAUAAAAUUAUAUAAUAAAUACAUCUUUUGAGCAGAUGCAUAGGGCUUUUCUGGGUUUGCUUUCAAUUAGUUUCCAUAUUCAUGGGUAGGAUGCUUGCAUGUGAAAAAGUUCAGCAUCAAUUCUUUUAUUUUUUUGUUUUGUUUAGUGUAAAUGAAGAAAACUGUUCACAUAACAAUUAGAUACCAAUGGAAGGAGGUUUGGUAUACCAAUGUUACUUGAUCAUUUGACUCCCUUCCAAAAUGUAUGCCAAAAAUGUUAGCAAUUUUGUUUUCAGUCAGUUAAAACCUGCCUAGGUUCUCAAACUGUAUUCAAUUUAGAGAACUAGAAAAUCAUUUGAUGUUUCUUGUCACCUGGUCUUUAUUCUCUUUGUGAGAGCAUCAACAAUAAUUCCAGCGGUCUCUCUGCUGGGCUCUCUGCAGAUUUUUAGACCCGCAAAACAAAGUGCUCUGGGGUGGGUGGUUUCCUUUUCACCAUCCUGGUGGGUGUGUGUGCACUUUGCUCUUGAAGAGUUAGGAGCAGGGGAGGUGGAAGGGGCUGUGACCUUGCUCCAGGCACCUUCUCUUGCUGGUCAGUUUUAGCCCAGGGAAACUGCACACUGAUUUCCUUUAAACUAUUUGGUGUGUUGUGCUCCUUGGGAGAGACAUCCAUACCCCUAAGGACCUAUGAACCCAAGUUUCAGGACAUUUCACCUGAAGAUACUUCCAUUUCCCACCUAAACAGAUGAAAAAAGUACCCUAUCCCCUUCCACCCAAUGGCUUCUAUGGGGUCUUCAGAACCAUAGAAGAUGGUGGGAAGAAAGAAGGCAGACAGGGCAAGGCUUUGUCACUCAGUGAGAGAAGGGAUGGCAGUAACAGGUUGGGAAGAAGGCUUUUUGAGGAUUGGGACAAUUUUGGGUAGAUUUGGAAACAUCUUGAAGGAAAUCAAACAAGAAGAAGAGAUUUACCUCUUGUAAAGUGUUGUAAAGUGGUGUUAUGAGUAAGGCAAGGGUCUUCUUUCCUUUAGCAUAUUUUAAUAGGAGGCAAUAAUGUGUCAGCCCUGUGCCAAGAGGGGGUCUGUAAGACACCUGUCCUUGCCUUCAGUGAGCUUAUAUAGCACACAGUAGUUGACCCAGAGAGGAGGGAGGAGAGGAGGAGAGUGGGAGGGGGAAGGAGAGAGAGCAGAGAGGGGAAGGAGGGGAUGGAGGAAGAGGAGAGAGAGGUGGGGGGGAGUUACUAGGAAAUUGUAACGCAGGGUGACCAUAAUGUGGGGUGACCAGCACAGGGGGUUGAGAGAGCAUCCAGGAGUGGCCCUCAUCCUGUCAAGGGGAGGAGUACCAGGGAAGAAGUCAAUCCAGAUGGAGCAAACCCCUGAGACCAAAUAUUCAAGUGUCUGUAAGGGUGGAGUGCAUUCUGGGAACAUCCUUAGAUCAGCACUGAAAGAUAAGAACAAACCAGAUGUAGCCAAAGCAAUUCUGAGAAAGAAAAAUGGAGCUAGAGGAAUAGGCUCCCUGACUACAGACUAUACAGCAAAGCUACAAUAAUCAAAACAGUAUGGUAUUUUGCACAAAAACAGAAAUAUAGAACAAUGGAACAGGAUAGAAAGCCCAGAAAUAAACCCAGCAACUAAUCUACAGCAACAGAGGCAAAAGUAUACAACGGAGAAAAGACAGUCUCUUUAAUAAGCGGUGCUGGGAAAAUUGGACAGCUACAUGUAGAAGAAAUUAGAACAUUCUCUCACACCAUACACAAAAAUAAACUCAAAACGGAUAAUAUACCUAAAUGUAAGACCAAAUACUAUAAAACUCUCAGAGGAAAACAGGCAGAGCACACUUUGACAUAAAUCACNGCCACUUCCCGUGGCAUAUGGAGCAGUCCAAGAAAUGGCAAAAAGACCAAAAAAAAAACAAAAACAAAAACCAAGCCUUUGCACAGCAAAGGACACCAUAACUAAAACAAAAAGACAACCCAAAGAAUGGGAUAAAAUAUUUGCAAAUAGGAGUUCCCGUCGUGGCGCAGUGGUUAACGAAUCCGACUAGGAACCAUGAGGUUGCGGGUUCGGUCCCUGCCCUUGCUCAGUGGGUUAACGAUCUGGCGUUGCCGUGAGCUGUGGUGUAGGUUGCAGACGCGGCUCGGAUCCCGCGUUGCUGUGGCUCUGGCGUGGGCUGGUGGCUACAGCUCCGAUUCGACCCCUAGCCUGGGAACCUCCAUAUGCCGCGGGAGCAGUCCAAGAAAUGGCAAAAAGACCAAAAAAAAAAAAAAAAAUUGCAAAUGAAGCAACUGGCAAGGGAUUAAUCUCCAAAAUAUACAAAAAAAUAAAUAAAAAAAACCCCAACCAACCCAAUCAAAAAAUGGGCAGAAGAUAUAAACAGACAUUUCUCCAAAAACAGACAGAUGGCCAAAAAGCACACAGUGGAGUUCAUUUUAUAUGUAUGCAUAUAUAAAUGAUUAAAACCAAUUAAAUUUAUAAACAAAUUCCUAAAUCUUCCAUGCAAAAGAAUCCCAAAUGAUUUGUACUUUACCAUCGAGGAAGCAUACACCGCUACUCCUUAAGCAUAGGCUGUGUAUGGUGACUUCCUUCCAAAGAGUACAGUCUGGAAAGGAGGGGAAGAGUAACUUCACAGUGGAAAAAUCUGACAAACCUCAGUCAGGGGAUCAAGCUCAACAUUAAUGGGAAUUCCCUG
rnacentral:lncRNA from 1 species